CUGAGAAUGGACAGUGGAGCGGCGUCGCCCCCACAUGCAAAGUGGUGAAGUGUAAGGAUCUGUCUCCUCCUCCGGCUGGACUUAUGGAGUGUUCUCAUCCUCUGGGGAACCACAGCUACCAGUCUGAAUGUGUAUUGUCCUGUGCUGAGGGUCAUAAGCUGGAUCCCCCCUCCUCUAGCGCUCUGCUAUGUGAAUCUUCAGGCCUCUGGAGCGCCUCAAUGCCAUCUUGUGUUGCUGUUCAGUGUCCUGCUCUCCAGGAUCCAGAGAACGGAAUGGUCCGAUGUGGAGAGGAGACAGAGCUGAAGUUCAGCUUCAAAGCAGACUGCAGCUUCAGCUGUGAAGCAGGCUUCACUCUAACAGGGCCUGGUGAGGUCACCUGCACAUCGGCAGGUGUCUGGAGCGGGAAGAUACCUGAGUGUGUUGAGAUCAAAUGUCCAGUUCCAAAGAAAGACGCUCAGCU